UGCCAGACUCCUACGGGAGGCAGCAGUGGGGGAUAUUGCACAAUGGGGGGAACCCUGAUGCAGCGACGCCGCGUGGGUGGAGGAGCGUUUCGGCGCGUAAAGCCCUAUCGGCAGGGAAGAAGGAGGACGGUACCUGACUAAGAAGCCCCGGCUAACUACGUGCCAGCAGCCGCGGUAAUACGUAGGGGGCAAGCGUUAUCCGGAUUUACUGGGUGUAAAGGGGGCGCAGACGGCAGCGCAAGCCAGGAGUGAAAGCCCGGGGCCCAACCCCGGGACUGCUUUUGAAACUGUAUGGCUAGAUUGCAGGAGAGGCAAGUGGAAUUCCUAGUGUAGCGGUGAAAUGCGUAGAUAUUAGGAGGAACACCAGUGGCGAAGGCGGCUUGCUGGACUGUAAAUGACGCUGAGGCUCGAAAGCGUGGGGAGCAAACAGGAUUAGAUACCCGUGUAU
rnacentral:rRNA from 1 species